GCCGGGUGUGGUGAUGGGUGCCUGUAAUCCCAGCUACUUGGAGGCUGAGACAGAAGAAUUGCUUGAGCCUGGGAGAUGGAGGCUGCAGUGAGCCAAGGUUGUGUCACUGCACUCCAGCCUGGCCAACAGAGUGAGAUUCUGUCUCAA
rnacentral:SRP_RNA from 2 species